rnacentral:misc_RNA from 1 species
UACGUAUUUACUUUCACCUUUCAAAUGUUUCUCCAGUCCCAGAGCAAGAACAUCAUCAUUUCCUACUUAGCAGCGCUCUCGCUUGCUCUUCAUGUCUUUCUUUCUUGGCUCACGGUGGUCAAGCUCUCGAUGGGUGUCGCGGGUGCGAUGAGCUCGAUGAUCUUGGCAAUGUGGAUCCCGGUCCUUGGUCAGUUUGCAUUUGUUAUAGGUGGUGGGUGCCCGGAAACAUGGAAGGGGUUCUCAUCG